rnacentral:rRNA from 1 species
CCUACGGGAGGCAGCAGUGAGGAAUAUUGGUCAAUGGGCGUAAGCCUGAACCAGCCAAGUCGCGUGAGGGAUGAAGGUUCUAUGGAUCGUAAACCUCUUUUAUAAGGGAAUAAAGUUAGGGACGUGUCCCGAUUUGCAUGUACCUUAUGAAUAAGCAUCGGCUAACUCCGUGCCAGCAGCCGCGGUAAUACGGAGGAUGCGAGCGUUAUCCGGAUUUAUUGGGUUUAAAGGGUGCGUAGGCGGCCUUUUAAGUCAGCGGUGAAAGUCUGUGGCUCAACCAUAGAAUUGCCGUUGAAACUGGGAGGCUUGAGUGUGUUUGAGGUAGGCGGAAUGCGUGGUGUAGCGGUGAAAUGCUUAGAUAUCACGCAGAACCCCGAUUGCGAAGGCAGCUUGCCAAGCCAUGACUGACGCUGAUGCACGAAAGCGUGGGGAUCAAACAGGAUUAGAUACCCUUGUAGUC